CACGGGGGGAGCAAGCGUUGUUCGGAAUCACUGGGCGUAAAGGGCGUGUAGGCGGUCAAGUAAGCGGAAUGUGAAAUCCCCCGGCUUACCCGGGGACCGGCAUCCCAUACUGCUUGGCUUGAGUACGGGAGAGGAUGUGGGAAUUCCUGGUGUAGCGGUGAAAUGCGUAGAUAUCAGGAGGAACACCGGUGGCGAAGGCGCACAUCUGGCCCGAUACUGACGCUGAAGCGCGAAAGCUAGGGGAGCAAACGGG
rnacentral:rRNA from 1 species